ensembl:lncRNA
AUUUCUGAUUAUUUGGUAGUCACUGCGUGUAGCCACUCCCUAGUCCAGCUACAGAGUUUUUCUUCCAUUUGUCCGAUGAGGCGCAUGCUGCUCUCGUGCCCUCUGCGAGCUGGAAAUUCGGGUGCAGUAGACAUUUGAGUUGCUGUAAAUAGUUUUAAAACCCUUUAUAUGUGAAGCUAAUGUUUUAAUAUGUUGUUAGAAAAAGGAGUCUUGUAGCGGUACGAGCGUGAAGCUGAGCUGAAUUCGACAGCCAUUCGCCAUUACGUGAACCCCUCUGGUGAGUUAGCUUGCAGCUCAUGUUCGCAUUACAUGUUUUUUCCUUAUCAUACUGCAGCGAGAUGUCAAAUCUACCACUGUCAUGUUUGUUAAGAAGGAGGGUAAAUAUUGUAUAACAUGUGUUAUUAGCUGGCUAUUAGCAAGCUAACUGUUAAGCGAGCUGGCUAAUGUCCUAAAAUGGCGGCCGACACGAGGUCAGUUACAGAGUUAUUAUGUUAUGCCUAAAAGAACAGCAUUGAUAAGCAUUGUUAACAGCAUUUAUGUUCUGUUAUACUUUUAUCUUGACAAGCCUAUAUUAUUAUGGUAAGACUGUUAAAUAAGCCAUUAGUGACAUGGACACUGAGUCAGUGAUACUGAGGCUUAUGAACAUUUUUGGUUAAUUUUUCUGCACACUUGUGUGUAGGCUGGUUUGUUUGCCCUUUUGAUACCCUGGAUCCUACUGGAUGAACUGCCUUAUGGAAGCCCUCAUCUGAUGACUCCGCUGAAUCGUCCUGGCCGGUAGAUGGUCGUUGCUGCGGGUGGAUGCUUCUGCUUGCUGGAUGCUAUUAUUGGAUGCUACACCGUUCCAACAGAGCGUGAGUGUGGUGUCCAUUGUGUGCUGGAAGCCUUACUGUUCCUGUGGUGGAGCAGCUACUACCAAUCUCCUUUACGAAACUAGCCUCUGAUGGGAUACAGAUAUUUGGGACACAUUUGAAUUCUUGUAACCUAUUUCUAGAGAAGCUGUGAUUCUGGGCCUAGACAUCGGGGUGAUAUUGAUGACACCGACACCUAGUGAACUGCCCAAGGUCAACAGUCCUGAUUUCAAAGCAUUCAAGCAUUGGCGUAAGUACAGAUUGCGUUACAAGCACAAAAAAAUAUUCUAACCUGAAUUGAAAUUAAUGUAAAUACGUUAACAAUUCUGUUUUGCAACGUUAGUCAGUAAGUGACUGGCUGCUCCCGUAUGGGAUUAGAACGAUUCCACCUUAUCCCAUAGUUAGGGCGGGGUCACUUCCUUUUUAACUCUUAUGCUACGUUCCUGUACCCCUAGACUGGGGCGUAACAGUAUGACUUAAAGCACUUAUGGUAUGUCUUGAACUAGCUGUGUGCAGGCAGGAAUU